rnacentral:rRNA from 1 species
GGCAGGCUUGGUCGGGUACACCAUUUGGAACGAUGGCUAUACCGGAUAAGCCGGAAGGUAAAAGAUUAAUUGCCUAGGGAAGAGCUUCGCGUCUGAUUAGCUAGUUGGUGAGGUAAAAGCUCACCAAGGCAUCGAUCAGUAGCUGGUCUGAGAGGAUGACCAGCCACACUGGGACUGAGACACGGCCCAUACUCCUACGGGAGGCAGCAGUGGGGAAUUUUCCGCAAUGGGCGAAAGCCUGACGGAGCAAGACCGCGUGAGGGAGGAAGGCUCUUGGGUUGUAAACCUCUUUUCUUGGGGAAGAACAAAAUGACGGUACCCAAGGAAUCAGCAUCGGCUAACUCCGUGCCAGCAGCCGCGGUAAUACGGAGGAUGCAAGCGUUAUCCGGAAUUAUUGGGCGUAAAGCGUCCGCAGGUGGCACUUCAAGUCUGCUGUCAAAGACCGGGGCUUAACCCUGGAGAGGCAGUGGAAACUGAAGCGCUAGAGUGUCGUAGGGGUAGAGGGAAUUCCUGGUGUAGCGGUGAAAUGCGUAGAGAUCAGGAAGAACAUCGGUGGCGAAAGCGCUCUACUGGACGACAACUGACACUCAGGGACGAAAGCUAGGGGAGCGAAUGGGAUUAGAACC